rnacentral:rRNA from 1 species
CGCCUGUUUAUCAAAAACAUCGCCUCUUGCCUAAAUAUAAGAGGUCCAGCCUGCCCAGUGACAUAGUUUAACGGCCGCGGUACCCUAACCGUGCAAAGGUAGCAUAAUCACUUGUUCCCUAAAUAGGGACUCGUAUCAACGGCAUCACGAGGGCUGUACUGUCUCCUUUCUCCAAUCAGUGAAACUGAUCUCCCCGUGAAGAAGCGGGGAUAAACCUAUAAGACGAGAAGACCCCAUGGAGCUUUAAACCCAUCACACACCUCUACGCACUCAAAUCAAUAUAGCCUAAGAGGCUUGUGUGCUGGUUUUAGGUUGGGGGGACCGCGGAGUAAAAUUAAACCUCCACGACAGACGGGCUAAUACCCUUAUCCAUGAACCACAAUUCUAAGAGCCAAUAAAUUGUUGUCUAUGACCCAAUUACUUGAUCAACGAACCAAGUUACCCUGGGGAUAACAGCGCAAUCUACUUCAAGAGCCCCUAUCGACAAGUAGGUUUACGACCUCGAUGUUGGAUCAGGGUAUCCUAGUGGUGCAGCCGCUACUAAAGGUUCGUUUGUUCAACGAUUAAAACC